CCUACGGGAGGCAGCAGUGGGGAAUAUUGGGCAAUGGACGCAAGUCUGACCCAGCAACGCCGCGUGAAGGAAAGAGGCUUUCGGGUUGUAAACUUCUUUUAAGGGGGAGGAGCAGAGGACGGUACCCCUUGAAUAAGCCACGGCUAACUACGUGCCAGCAGCCGCGGUAAGCCGUAGGUGGCAAGCGUUGUCCGGAUUUAAUGGGUGUAAAGGGCGUGCAGCAGGAGAGAAAAGCAAGAUGUGAAAUCCACGGGCUCAACCCGUGAACUGCAUUUGAAACUGUUUCCCUUGAGUGUCGGAGAGGUAAUCGGAAUUCCUGGUGUAGCGGUGAAAUGCGUAGAUAUAAGGAAGAACACCAGUGGCGAAGGCGGAUUACUGGACGAUAACUGACGGUGAGGCGCGAAAGUGUGGGUAUCAAACAGGAUUAGAUACCCGGGUAGUC
rnacentral:rRNA from 1 species